rnacentral:tRNA from 1 species
CCGGCGGCAAGAAAUAAGAAAGCAGAGGACUCAUAAUCCUUUGGUUACAGGUUCAAAUCCUGUCCGAUCCA